rnacentral:rRNA from 1 species
UGCCGGUGUUAAACCGGAGGAAGUGGGGAUGACGUCAAGUCCUCAUGGCCUUUAUGCUUAGGGCUACACACGUGCUACAAUGGGUAGUACAAAGAGAAGCCAACUCGCGAGAGUGCGCAAAUCUCAAAAAGCUAUCCUAAGUUCGGAUUGAAGUCUGCAACUCGACUUCAUGAAGCUGGAAUCGCUAGUAAUCGCGGAUCAGCAUGCCGCGGUGAAUACGUUCCCGGGCCUU